UUGGAGGGCAGUCUGGUGCCAGCAGCCGCGGUAAUUCCAGCUCCAAUAGCGUAUAUUAAAGUUGUUGCAGUUAAAAAGCUCGUAGUUGAACUUCGGGGUUUACCCAUUGGUCAGGCUUAAUUGUCUGUACUGGUGAGAUAAAUCUCUACCUUCUGAGGAACUUUCAUGCCAUUUAUUUGGUGUGAUUGGAAAUCAGGACUAUUACUUUGAAAAAAUUAGAGUGUUUAAAGCAGGCUAACGUCUGAAUAUAUUAGCAUGGAAUAAUGAAAUAGGACGGCUUGGUUCUAUUUCGUUGGUUUCUAGGAUCUCUUUUAAUGAUUAAUAGGGAUAGUUGGGGGCAUUAGUAUUCAAUUGUCAGAGGUGAAAUUCUUGGAUUUAUUGAAGACUAACUACUGCGAAAGCAUUUGCCAAGGAUGUUUUCAUUAAUCAAGAACGAAAGUUAGGGGAUCGAAGACGAUCAGAUACCGUCGUAGUCUUAACCAUAAACUAUGCCGACUAGGGAUCGGACGAAGUUAAUUUUAUAAUGACGCGUUCGGCGCCUUACGGGAAAC
rnacentral:rRNA from 1 species